AUGUCCGAUCCGAAUUACAUGACUUCACGCGCAAUCCUCUCCACCACAAACGACAACAUCGAUAAGAUAAACAUACGCAUGGUAGAGCGUUUUCGGGGAGAAGAAGUAAUCUACCAUAGCUUUGACAGUGCAGAAGACGACCCGUAUGGCUACUACGCUCCCGAGUUCCUAAAUGGAUUGACUCCCAACGGUCUGCCUCCACAUGCACUCAAACUGAAGCUCAACUGCCCUAUCAUACUUCUGAGGAACAUUGAUCCGGCUAAUGGUCUGUGUAACGGGACGAGGCUUGUGGUGCGAGGUUUCUAG
rnacentral:rRNA from 1 species